UUUACUAAAAUUGUGACUAUCCAACUUGAUUCAAAGACCUCUCUUUUUCUCCUUACAAAAUGCACCACGGCACCGUGAGAUCUUCGAGCUCACCAUCUCCGAUGAACUCCUCCGAUUUUCCACCGUGAGCCAUACAAACACAACAACCUCACCUCUCAAAUGAACUCUCUGCUUUCAGUUUCCGAUUCGAACGAUUAACUAAUUUUCUAAACCUAAAUGCACAGGCGAUGAUGACUGAACAAAAAUCAAGAUGCAUAAAGAACCUGUUAGGAGACUUGAAUUUUCGAUGCGGUGGCGGAGAUUCCCGAUUACCACGAAACUCAGGUGUUGAAGCUAAAUUUCAUUCAAACCCGUGACGAAUAGUCCUCAUGUUGAUAGCAAUCGGAUGGUAAGGUGAAUACCUGGCUUUGAUGUAACUUAGGCUAGGAUGAAUUGUGAUGGCAGGUUGCUUGUUUUGAGAGGUAAUGUUAUGAAUGUUUAUGAAGGAUUGGGUUGGAACUGAAUUGGUGUCAGAUCAGUAGCUGAUUGUUGCUAGUUUCAUUUUGUGUUAUUUACAGAUUUUUAACAAGUGAAUAUGAGGAAAGAGGCAGCUUGUUUUGGUACUGUAUGGAAUUAUGUGAAUGGUGCUUGAAUGUAUGUUCACUUUAUUGUGUGUAUGUCUAUGCAGGUUUGCAAAUUGAGGAUGCAAGAUUGUUUGAAGUUGGCAAGCUUGAAGAUGGGACAAGAAUGGAAACAAGGCUUGGCUACAAGAAUAGAUUUAGAACAGCCUAUUGUAUUUAAAUGGUGUAAUGGUUUAAUUAUUUUGUGUAGAGAAUGCUACUGAAUCAUGACUUUCCUUGAAGAUGUAAUGGCUUGGAAUUGAAACGGAUCCUUGAAAGUGUAAUGGCCUUGUAUUGAAACGGAUCCUGUAUUGAUUUUGAAACAGCAUAUGACAUGCCUUGACUUUGACUUCAAAAA